AUUGAACGCUGGCGGCAGGCCUAACACAUGCAAGUCGAACGAGUGGCGGACGGGUGAGUAAUGUCUGGGAAACUGCCUGAAGGAGGGGGAUAACUACUGGAAACGGUAGCUAAUACCUCAUACCAUCGGAUGUGCCCAGAUGGGAGUAGCUAGUAGGUGGGGUAAAGGCUAACCUAGGCGACGAUCCCUAGCUGGUAUGAGAGGAUGACCAGCCACACGUGCACUGAGACACGGGCCAGACGCCUACGGUAGUCAGCAGUGGGGAAUAUUGCACGAGGGGCGCAAGCCUGAUGCAGCCAUGCCGCGUGGAUGAAGAAGGCCUUCUGGUUGUAAAGUACUUUCAGCGGGGAGGCGUUACCCGCAGAAGAAGCACCGGCUAACUCCGUGCCAGCCGCCGCGGUAAUUC
rnacentral:rRNA from 1 species